CGGUUUUGGAUUCCACUAUUGCUAUUGAGCCUAUAUUAUCUUCAGCACCCCUUUAGACUCGUAACUUGCGUAUACAUAUAUGAAUAAGUCAGUAUGCGUAAUUUGAAGAUCACUAUAUAAUUUAAGCCAUCUUCGGCUCAUUGGAGAUUGCAUACUCUGCAUAGUUUUGCAGUAAUUUCAUAUUUUGCGUCAUACGACGACUUGAACUUCUUAAUAUGACUGACAGUCAAGAGAACAUUAUCAAAUGAUAAUGCACAUGUUCAAGGCAGGUUUUCAGAAAGGGGGCCGACAUAAUUUUCACUUUAUUGUUCUUUGUCUAUUUAUUUAAGGAUAAAUUCGCCUUAGAUUUUUCCCAAAGUAUUAUCUGUUUAAUCUAUCUUCUCCAAUCUUUUAAGAAUCAACGUCUUAAUAUAGCUUUAACAUCAAAAUAGAUUAAAAAUACCAUUUAGACGGGAUUCAGUUGCGGUUCAGCAGAGUUUUGCGGCAAAAUUUGUAGUGCCGUUUUUUAAGGAUUAAAUUCAUAUUCAACCAAAUUAACCAUUUAUUAUUAUAAAUGGAUACUGGAUACAAUGCAGCUAGAGAUAAUGCUACAUUAUUUUCCUCAAAAAAUGUAUGAGUAUUAAAACGUAUUAUAUUAUGUAAUCAAGGUUUGGCACAAAAAUAGCUCACUGAAAAUAAAAUGAUAUAACUGGAAA